GACGAACGCUGGCGGCGUGCUUAACACAUGCAAGUCGAACGGAAAGGCCCUGCUUUUGUGGGGUGCUCGAGUGGCGAACGGGUGAGUAACACGUGAGUAACCUGCCCUUGACUUUGGGAUAACUUCAGGAAACUGGGGCUAAUACCGGAUAGGAGCUCCUGCUGCAUGGUGGGGGUUGGAAAGUUUCGGCGGUUGGGGAUGGACUCGCGGCUUAUCAGCUUGUUGGUGGGGUAGUGGCUUACCAAGGCUUUGACGGGUAGCCGGCCUGAGAGGGUGACCGGCCACAUUGGGACUGAGAUACGGCCCAGACUCCUACGGGAGGCAGCAGUGGGGAAUAUUGCACAAUGGGCGGAAGCCUGAUGCAGCAACGCCGCGUGCGGGAUGACGGCCCUCGGGUUGUAAACCGCUUUCGCCUGUGACGAAGCGUGAGUGACGGUAAUGGGUAAAGAAGCACCGGCUAACUACGUGCCAGCAGCCGCGGUGAUACGUAGGGUGCGAGCGUUGUCCGGAUUUAUUGGGCGUAAAGGGCUCGUAGGUGGUUGAUCGCGUCGGAAGUGUAAUCUUGGGGCUUAACCCUGAGCGUGCUUUCGAUACGGGUUGACUUGAGGAAGGUAGGGGAGAAUGGAAUUCCUGGUGGGGCGGUGGAAUGCGCAGAUAUCAGGAGGAACACCAGUGGCGAAGGCGGUUCUCUGGGCCUUUCCUGACGCUGAGGAGCGAAAGCGUGGGGAGCGAACAGGCUUAGAUACCCUGGUAGUCCACGCUGUAAACGGUGGGUACUAGGUGUGGGGUCCAUUCCACGGGUUCCGUGCCGUAGCUAACGCUUUAAGUACCCCGCCUGGGGAGUACGGCCGCAAGGCUAAAACUCAAAGGAAUUGACGGGGCCCCGCACAAGCGGCGGAGCAUGCGGAGUAAUUCGAUGCAACGCGUAGAACCUUACCUGGGUUUGACAUGGAUCGGGAGUGCUCAGAGAUGGGUGUGCCUCUUUUGGGGUCGGUUCACAGGUGGUGCAUGGCUGUCGUCAGCUCGUGUCGUGAGAUGUUGGGUUAAGUCCCGCAACGAGCGCAACCCUUGUUCACUGUUGCCAGCACGUUAUGGUGGGGACUCAGUGGAGACCGCCGGGGUCAACUCGGAGGAAGGUGGGGAUGACGUCAAGUCAUCAUGCCCCUUAUGUCCAGGGCUUCACGCAUGCUACAAUGGCUGGUACAGAGAGUGGCGAGCCUGUGAGGGUGAGCGAAUCUCGGAAAGCCGGUCUCAGUUCGGAUUGGGGUCUGCAACUCGACCUCAUGAAGUCGGAGUCGCUAGUAAUCGCAGAUCAGCAACGCUGCGGUGAAUACGUUCCCGGGGCU
rnacentral:rRNA from 1 species